rnacentral:lncRNA from 1 species
AGCGCCUCAGAUGUUAUAAGUCUGAGUGAGGUAUCUGCAUUUCAAAGGUAAACUGUAUGUUGAAUCACCAUUGCCCUAUCAGUACACAAUUUAAGUUAAUAGCAAAGACACAGGAAAAACUAGGCAAGAGGGGAAAUAACUUAGAUAGCCACCAAGAAUUCAGUGUACGUAUGCACAAAAUCCAGUGUUUGAUAUCCUGCCUGGGAUUCAACGUACUUGGCCUUCCUCUCUUCCUCCUCCCUGGCAGUCCAGGGACCUCAACUUUAGCUAUUUUCCCAGAUCUAGCUCAUAGAGACUACCAGAAGAGAGACUAUAACUAGGAUGACUUACAUUAUUCUUAUAGAUACUGAUCUGCAACAGUCUGUCCCCAUGUCACCACUCUAGGAUGCAAAUAUUAAACACAGUGGGAAACAAAUAGUGUUUACAAGCAUUGAGGGUGGGGUAGGGUCUGAUUUUCCUGCUGGAAACAAAUGAUAUUUAUGUCCACCUAAUUGUUUCGAACUCAAAAUGAUAUGUAUUUUCAUUCAAGAUGGAAAGGAAGUAAUGGCUCCCAAGACAGAAGAGCAAAUAUUUUUAUCUUUGAAAGCAAAAGCCUUAGUAACAAAAAAGAUCCACAAUUUUUAAGCUUGAAAAAGCCUUUCAAAAGAUCUAAUACAGAAUUUCCAAAAACCAGUACGACUUGCAAGACAUUCCGUGGAAAAAAGUUUUGUGACCAAACAGAUUUGGGAACUGUCACAGGUAAUGCUAUUCUCCUUCCAGAUUUCCACAGCACUGGGCAUAUUAGAAGCUCUGAGAAGUUUUGCCAUAAAGAUACACUCUAACCAUGUGUUUCCUUUAAAGGAGGAAACUAGAAAGGAGGUGACACAUUGAGGUCACACAGAGUACCACAUCUGUCAAAGGAAAGAUCAACAGGCAAUGUCAAAUUUUAAGGAGAAUGUGACUCAAGGAAGUUCUUGAAGGACAAUAUAUAUAAAAAUACGAAAUCAGAAGCACACAAGACAUACUUUUCAGAAGUCAGUGAUGACAGGUUGUCCACCUGGCCUCCAGCCAAGAUGAUAUUCAUAUCACUGAAAGUGCUGACUACUUGCUGCAGAUAAUUACUGGCUCCCACCUUACAGCAAUUAUAACCAAAGACAAGGACCACACGAAGUUCAGGGUUAUCUAAAAGACCUGCAGAGAAAUGAAGAGCAACAGUUAAAGACAGCCUUAAAACAGAAAUUAUUUUAUACAUGCUGCAAAAUUAAAUGUUACUGACUUGCACUCCUCCUUAAGGGCAA